CGUCCUGUUUCUUAGUUAGUUUUCCUUUUGUUUUCAUGUGUUCUUCGGUUUUGUGUUGUGUUUGUUUACUCAUGUCUCCUCGUUUCAGACUCCUCACGCCCUGUGUGUGCCCCGCCUUGUUGAUUGUCUGGUCCGCCUUGAUUGUUUUCACCUGUCCCUGAUUAUCGAUUGUAUAUAGUCCAUGUGUUCCUGUCUUGUUGCGUUCUCGUCAUUGUAUUUCCGUUGUCUUUUCCCUGGGUUCUAUGCGUUUCUAGCGAUCAUUGUUAUCAUAGUUUUCCAUGUUUAUUGAUUUCCCUGUGUUGCCGACCUCUGCCUGUUUUACGGAUUACCCUUUUGCCUCUGAUUGUUUGCUUGGAUAUUAGACUCACUGCCCAUGUACCGACCCCUGUUAAGUAAAGUUUCCACUUCUCUCAUUUAUCUCUGUGUCAGAGUCGUACGUGUGAGUUCUGCACAUCACUCCCCCGUAACACUGCUUUGCAAACGGCCGAUCACUGCAGAUUGCCUGUAUGUCGCUUUGGAGAAAAGUGUCUGCUAAAUACCAGUCCUUGACCUUUAUUAUUCUAAAACAUGGCUUAGUUAACAGUGUCAAGUGAAUGCAUAUGGAUGCAGUACACAUGAACAAACUGUAUAUGUAUGCUGUUUGGACGUAUUGUGUUAAGGUAUGGUCUCCACACUCUAAUGUCUUUAUACCUGAUUGCAGGAUCCUAUGUGGUCAGACACUGUGAGAAGUCCAGCCCAACGGUUUGUGAACAAUGUCCCACUACAACGUUUACAGAUGAGGAAAAUGGACUGCUGCGGUGCAAGUCCUGCACAGUCUGUGACUCAAAAGCGGGUUAAAGGUUAGGAGGAAGUGUAGCCCAACAUCAGACACACUCUGUGAGCCUCUGGAAGGUCACUGGUGUACUGACCCCAUCAAAGAUGGCUGCCUAAGAGCUGUGGAACACACCAAGUGCUCACCAGAGCAGUACGUCAAAGAGAAAGGUACAGCCUAUUCUGAUACAAGAUGUGAGACCCGUGGGCAUGGCACAGUCUCAGAUGGGUCUUCGACUUUCUGCAGGUCACACACACAACAUGACACAGACAUGGAAGAACAUGGAACGAAGAGAGUUGCUUCAUCUUCAUUUGAUGACUGUGACAAGGCCAAAACUGGCACAGCCAUCGCCUUGGUCAGUUUCAUGGCUACCUUGAUUUUCACUUGUGUGGCCAGAAGUCCUCAGAGAACCUUGCAACCUUUAAUGUUCUCACUAACGUUUAUGGGCAUAUGUGGUGUUUUGUGUGCAUAUGUGUGUGGACUGAAUUACUUUUGUGUGUGUGUCAGUGUGAUUGGGUGUGUGGGUA